rnacentral:tRNA from 1 species
GAGGAGUUAGUUAACUUAUAACACUACCUUGUCAAGGUAAAAUAAUGGGCUAAAUCCCCAUACCCCUCU